UACAGAGGGGGCAAGCGUUGUUCGGAAUUACUGGGCGUAAAGGGCGCGUAGGCGGCCUGCUAAGUCGAACGUGAAAUCCCCGGGCUCAACCCGGGAACUGCGUCCGAUACUGGUGGGCUUGAAUCCGGGAGAGGGAUGUGGAAUUCCAGGUGUAGCGGUGAAAUGCGUAGAUAUCAGGAGGAAUACCGGUGGCGAAAGCGACUCUCUGGACGGCAACUGACGCUGAGGCACGAAAGCGUGGGGAGCAAACAGG
rnacentral:rRNA from 1 species